GAUGAACGCUGGCGGCGUACCUAAUACAUGCAAGUCGAGCGAACAGAUGAGAAGCUUGCUUCUCUGAUGUUAGCGGCGGACGGGUGAGUAACACGUGGGUAACCUACCUAUAAGACUGGGAUAACUCCGGGAAACCGGGGCUAAUACCGGAUAAUAUUUUGAACCGCAUGGUUCAAUAGUGAAAGACGGUUUCGGCUGUCACUUAUAGAUGGACCCGCGCCGUAUUAGCUAGUUGGUAAGGUAACGGCUUACCAAGGCGACGAUACGUAGCCGACCUGAGAGGGUGAUCGGCCACACUGGAACUGAGACACGGUCCAGACUCCUACGGGAGGCAGCAGUAGGGAAUCUUCCGCAAUGGGCGAAAGCCUGACGGAGCAACGCCGCGUGAGUGAUGAAGGUCUUCGGAUCGUAAAACUCUGUUGUUAGGGAAGAACAGAUUUGUUAGUAACUGAACAAGUCUUGACGGUACCUAACCAGAAAGCCACGGCUAACUACGUGCCAGCCGCCGCGGUAA
rnacentral:rRNA from 1 species